rnacentral:rRNA from 1 species
AUUGAACGCUGGCGGCAUGCCUUACACAUGCAAGUCGAACGGCAGCGGACCUUCGGGUGCCGGCGAGUGGCGAACGGGUGAGUAAUAUAUCGGAACGUACCUUUCAGUGGGGGAUAACGUAGCGAAAGUUACGCUAAUACCGCAUAUUCUGUGAGCAGGAAAGCAGGGGAUCGCAAGACCUUGCGCUGAUUGAGCGGCCGAUAUCAGAUUAGCUAGUUGGUGAGGUAAAGGCUCACCAAGGCGACGAUCUGUAGCGGGUCUGAGAGGAUGAUCCGCCACACUGGAACUGAGACACGGUCCAGACUCCUACGGGAGGCAGCAGUGGGGAAUUUUGGACAAUGGGCGCAAGCCUGAUCCAGCCAUGCCGCGUGAGUGAAGAAGGCCUC